rnacentral:lncRNA from 1 species
AUUGGCACGGGUAGCCAUAUUGUGGGAUUUCGAGAACUGACACUGGUAGUCAGUAUUGCGGGUAAAGAAUUGGCACUGGUAGCCAUAUUGUGGGAUUUCGAGAACUGACACUGGUAGUCAGUAUUGUGGGAAGAGAAUUGGCACGGGUAGCCAUAUUGUGGGUAACUUCGAGAAUUGGCACGGGUAGCCAUAUUGUGGUGGGUGCAUUCGAGAUCGGUUCUUACAGUGCAGUAAGAAUUCGAUAACAGAGAUCUGGGCUAUUUUAUCCUGGGGACGGCGUGGUUGAUAGUCUGCUUGCACAUUUUGGGCAGUGCCACGAAACUUCUUAAAGAGAGCGACCUGGUCGUGAUUCAGCCAGUAAGUAUUAUUUCGUGCCAUUUAGAAUUGCUGCAAACUACGGUAACAACAUUUUCUGAUGUGUUUUUUAGGGAGUAUAUUUGUUAUUCACAAGUUAGGCAAUUGCAUAUUAACCAAUAUAUAAUUAAUUAAAAAUAUAUUUAAAUCUAAAAAUAAAUAAAUAAUUGUUUUCCUAACAAAUGACAAUGGAGACACAUAUGAUACAAGUUGUAGAAAAGCAUAUAGUCACCCUUUUAUAAUGUUCGUCUGUCUCCAACAAAAAAACACCAACAGUGAAAUUUGUCAUGUGAAUAACCUUUAAUGAGUCAAAUAAAUAAUUAGAGCCAAUUUAAAGCAUUUUAAUCCCUUACAAUCAGUCAUCAAGUGUUUAGAACUUUACAUGAUUUGUGAAUACUGAUAUGAUCUUAUUAAAAUUUUGAAUUGUGGUAUACUUUCCUAUUUUCCCCUUUUGUAGAGAGAAAAUAAAAUAGCCCCUUUAUCUUAAAAUAUCCUGACAUGUUUUAUGACGUUGGAAUUCUCAAUGUCAUUCUGCAUAUCACAUAGAGGAGAGAGAAAUUGUUUCUAACCUUCCUAAUAUUGGUACCAUAGAUUUAGUUCAUC